rnacentral:rRNA from 1 species
ACACUCCUGCGGGAGGCAGCAGUGGGGAAUAUUGCACAAUGGGCGCAAGCCUGAUGCAGCCAUGCCGCGUGUAUGAAGAAGGCCUUCGGGUUGUAAAGUACUUUCAGCGGGGAGGAAGGCGAUAAGGUUAAUAACCUUGUCGAUUGACGUUACCCGCAGAAGAAGCACCGGCUAACUCCGUGCCAGCAGCCGCGGUAAUACGGAGGGUGCAAGCGUUAAUCGGAAUUACUGGGCGUAAAGCGCACGCAGGCGGUCUGUCAAGUCGGAUGUGAAAUCCCCGGGCUCAACCUGGGAACUGCAUUCGAAACUGGCAGGCUAGAGUCUUGUAGAGGGGGGUAGAAUUCCAGGUGUAGCGGUGAAAUGCGUAGAGAUCUGGAGGAAUACCGGUGGCGAAGGCGGCCCCCUGGACAAAGACUGACGCUCAGGUGCGAAAGCGUGGGGAGCAAACAGGAUUAGAUACCCGGGUAGUCCCAUG